rnacentral:tRNA from 1 species
GUUGAGGUGGCCGAGUGGUUAAGGCGUUGGACUAGAAAUCCAAUGGGAUGUUCCCGCGCAGCUUAAAUCCUGCCCGCAACG